rnacentral:rRNA from 1 species
AGUGGGGAAUAUUGGACAAUGGGCGAAAGCCUGAUCCAGCAAUGCCGCGUGAGUGAUGAAGGCCUUAGGGUUGUAAAGCUCUUUUACCCGGGAUGAUAAUGACAGUACCGGGAGAAUAAGCUCCGGCUAACUCCGUGCCAGCAGCCGCGGUAAUACGGAGGGAGCUAGCGUUGUUCGGAAUUACUGGGCGUAAAGCGCACGUAGGCGGCUUUGUAAGUUAGAGGUGAAAGCCUGGAGCUCAACUCCAGAAUUGCCUUUAAGACUGCAUCGCUUGAAUCCAGGAGAGGUGAGUGGAAUUCCGAGUGUAGAGGUGAAAUUCGUAGAUAUUCGGAAGAACACCAGUGGCGAAGGCGGCUCACUGGACUGGUAUUGACGCUGAGGUGCGAAAGCGUGGGGAGCAAA